rnacentral:tRNA from 1 species
GGGCAGUUAGCUCAGUUGGUAAGAGCACCGCCUUCACACGGCGGGGGACACAGGUUCAAGUCCUGCACUGCCCACCA